UGCUCAGAUUGAACGCUGGCGGCAUGCUUUACACAUGCAAGUCGAACGGUAACAGGUCUUCGGAUGCUGACGAGUGGCGAACGGGUGAGUAAUACAUCGGAACGUGCCUAGUAGUGGGGGAUAACUACUCGAAAGAGUAGCUAAUACCGCAUGAGAUCUCCGGAUGAAAGCAGGGGACCUUCGGGCCUUGUGCUACUAGAGCGGCUGAUGGCAGAUUAGGUAGUUGGUGGGGUAAAGGCUUACCAAGCCUGCGAUCUGUAGCUGGUCUGAGAGGACGACCAGCCACACUGGGACUGAGACACGGCCCAGACUCCUACGGGAGGCAGCAGUGGGGAAUUUUGGACAAUGGGCGAAAGCCUGAUCCAGCAAUGCCGCGUGCAGGAUGAAGGCCCUCGGGUUGUAAACUGCUUUUGUACGGAACGAAAAGCCUGGGGCUAAUACCCCCGGGUCAUGACGGUACCGUAAGAAUAAGCACCGGCUAACUACGUGCCAGCAGCCGCGGUAAUACGUAGGGUGCAAGCGUUAAUCGGAAUUACUGGGCGUAAAGCGUGCGCAGGCGGUUUUGUAAGACAGUGGUGAAAUCCCCGGGCUCAACCUGGGAACUGCCAUUGUGACUGCAAGGCUAGAGUGCGGCAGAGGGGGAUGGAAUUCCGCGUGUAGCAGUGAAAUGCGUAGAUAUGCGGAGGAACACCGAUGGCGAAGGCAAUCCCCUGGGCCUGCACUGACGCUC
rnacentral:rRNA from 1 species